rnacentral:tRNA from 1 species
UCCGCGGUAGCUCAAUUGGUAGAGCGGUGGACUGUUAAUCCAUAGGUUGUAGGUUCGAGUCCUACCCGCGGAG